rnacentral:rRNA from 1 species
CGUAGGGUCCGAGCGUUGUCCGGAAUUAUUGGGCGUAAAGGGCUCGUAGGCGGUCUGUCGCGUCGGGAGUGAAAACCAGGUGCUUAACACCUGGCCUGCUUUCGAUACGGGCAGACUAGAGGUACUCAGGGGAGAAUGGAAUUCCUGGUGUAGCGGUGAAAUGCGCAGAUAUCAGGAGGAACACCGGUGGCGAAGGCGGUUCUCUGGGAGUAUCCUGACGCUGAGGAGCGAAAGUGUGGGGAGCGAACAGGAUUAGAUACCCUGGUAGUCCACACCGUAAACGUUGGGCGCUAGGUGUGGGAUCCAUUCCACGGGGUUCCGUGCCGCAGCUAACGCAUUAAGCGCCCCGCCUGGGGAGUACGGCCGCAAGGCUA